CUAGCUGUAAACGAUGGAUACUAGGCGUUGAGAGUAUCGACCCUCUCAGUGUCGUAGCUAACGCGUUAAGUAUCCCGCCUGGGGAGUACGCGCGCAAGCGUGAAACUCAAAGGAAUUGACGGGGGCCCGCGCAAGCGGUGGAGUAUGUGGUUUAAUUCGAUGCAACGCGAAGAACCUUACCAGGGCUUGACAUGUCCGGAACCCUGCCCAAAGGCGGGGGUGCCUACGGGAACCGGAACACAGGUGGUGC
rnacentral:rRNA from 1 species